UACGUAGGGUGCAAGCGUUAAUCGGAAUUACUGGGCGUAAAGCGUGCGCAGGCGGCUAUGCAAGACAGAUGUGAAAUCCCCGGGCUCAACCUGGGAACUGCAUUUGUGACUGCAUGGCUAGAGUACGGUAGAGGGGGAUGGAAUUCCGCGUGUAGCAGUGAAAUGCGUAGAUAUGCGGAGGAACACCGAUGGCGAAGGCAAUCCCCUGGACCUGUACUGACGCUCAUGCACGAAAAGCGUGGGGAGCAAACAGG
rnacentral:rRNA from 1 species